rnacentral:rRNA from 1 species
AUUGAACGCUGGCGGCAGGCUUAACACAUGCAAGUCGAACGAGUGGCGGACGGGUGAGUAAUGCUUGGGAAUCUAGCUGAUGGAGGGGGAUAACUACGGGAAACUGUAGCUAAUACCGCAUACCAUAGGAUGAGCCCAAGUGGGAUUAGCUAGUUGGUGAGGUAACGGCUCACCAAGCCGACGAUCUCUAGCUGGUCUGAGAGGAGGACCAGCGACACUGGGACUGAGACACGGCCCAGACUCCUACGGGAGGCAGCAGGGGGGAAUAUUGCGCAAUGGAGGAAAGUCUGAUGGAGCAACGCCGCGUGAGUGAUGACGGCCUUCGGGUUGUAAAGCUCUGUUAAUGGGGAGGCGGGACCGGAAUAGAAAGACACGGCUAACCACGUGCAAGCAGCCGCGGUAUUU